GGGUCGUUAGCUCAGUUGAGUACAGCAGUUGACUUUUAAUCAAUUGGUCGCAGGUUCGAAUCCUGCACGACCCACCA
rnacentral:tRNA from 1 species